rnacentral:rRNA from 1 species
UAAGGAAUAUUGGUCAAUGGACGGAAGUCUGAACCAGCCAUGCCGCGUGAAGGAUGACUGCCCUCUGGGUUGUAAACUUCUUUUAUGUGGGAAGAAAGUCCUGAUAUAUAUUAGGUUUGACGGUACCAUAGGAAUAAGCACCGGCUAACUCCGUGCCAGCAGCCGCGGUAAUACGGAGGGUGCGAGCGUUAUCCGGAUUCACUGGGUUUAAAGGGUGCGUAGGUGGGUUAUUAAGUCAGUGGUGAAAUCUCCGUGCUUAACAUGGAAACUGCCAUUGAUACUAUUGAUCUUGAAUUUUCUGGAGGUAAGCGGAAUAUGUCAUGUAGCGGUGAAAUGCUUAGAUAUGACAUAGAACACCGAUUGCGAAGGCAGCUUACUACAGGGACAUUGACACUGAUGCACGAAAGCGUGGGGAUCAAACAGGAUUAGAUACCCUGGUAGUCCACGCCCUAAACGAUGGAUACUCGACAUUUGCGAUAAACAGUAAGUGUCUGAGC